UAGCUCAGCUGGUAAAGAAUCUGCCUGCAAUGCAGGAGACCCAGGUUUGAUUCCUGG
rfam:Ovis aries breed Texel chromosome 4, whole genome shotgun sequence.